rnacentral:rRNA from 1 species
GCCCAGACCUACAGCUAAGGUCCCAAAGUGCGUGUUAAGUGGAAAAGGAUGUGGGGAUUCUAAGACAACUAGGACGUUGGCUUAGAAGCAGCCAUUCAUUGAAAGAGUGCGUAAUAGCUCACUAGUCGAGAGUCCCUGCGCCGAAAAUGUCCGGGGCUGAAACACGACACCGAAGCUUAGGAAUGUGUAAACAUUGGUAGAGGAGCAUUGCUAGCGGGAUGAAGCCAUACCGUAAGGAGUGGUGGACUGCUAGGAAGAGAGAAUGCCGGAAUGAGUAGCGAGAUGAAGGUGAGAAUCCUUCAGGCCGAAUAUCUAAGGUUUCCAGAGUAAAGCUGAUCUGCUCUGGGUAAGUCGGGACCUAAGGCGAGGUCGAAAGACGUAGUCGAUGGAUAACAGGUUGAAAUUCCUGUACCGCAUAUAAACAGAACUGUGGGGACACAGACAGGGAAUGGAAUCCGGGAAUGGAUAUCCCGGUGCAAGCGAGGUAGGAGUGCUGUUGGCAAAUCCGCAGCACGAUCUGAAGACGUGACGCGUACCGAACAUAAGUAGGGAAGUCCAGGCCCCUGGCUGUCAAGAAAAGCCGCUAUUGUUUUAUAUGUGCCCGUACCGCAAACCGACACAGGUGGAUGAGGAGAGAAUCCUAAGGCCGACGGGAGAAGUAUUGUUAAGGAACUCGGCAAAAUGACUCCGUAACUUCGGGAGAAGGAGUGCCAUGAGAGUGGCCGCAGAGAAAUGGCCCAAGCAACUGUUUAGCAAAAACACAGGUCUAUGCAAAACCGCAAGGUGAAGUAUAUGGGCUGACGCCUGCCCGGUGCUGGAAGGUUAAGGGGAGAGGUUAGCGCAAGCGAAGCUUUGAACUUAAGCCCCAGUAAACGGCGGCCGUAACAAUAACGGUCCUAAGGUAGCGAAAUUCCUUGUCGGGUAAGUUCCGACCCGCACGAAAGGCGUAAUGAUUUGGGCACUGUCUCAACGAUACACCCGGUGAAAUUGAAAUACCAGUGAAGAUGCUGGUUACCUGCGCCAGGACGGAAAGACCCCAUGGAGCUUUACUCCAGUUUGAUACUGGGAUUCGGCAUGGUAUGUACAGGAUAGGUGGGAGACUGAGAAGGUAUGACGUCAGUUGUACCGGAGUCGCUGUUGGGAUACCACCCUUACCAUGUUGGAUUUCUAACCUGUGGCCGUAAGCCGGUCAGGGGACAAUGUCAGGCGGGGAGUUUGACUGGGGCGGUCGCCUCCGAAAGGGUAUCGGAGGCGCUCAAAGGUUCCCUCAGAAUGGUUGGAAACCAUUCGAAGAGUGCAAAGGCAGAAGGGAGCUUGACUGUGACACCGACGGGUGGA